UACGUAGGGGGCUAGCGUUGUCCGGAAUCAUUGGGCGUAAAGAGCGUGUAGGCUGCUCGGUAAGUCCGCUGUAAAAGUCAAAGGCUCAACCUUUGAAUGUCAGUGGAUACUGCCGGGCUAGAGUCCGGAAGAGGCGAGUGGAACUCCUGGUGUAGCGGUGGAAUGCGCAGAUAUCAGGAGGAACACCGGUGGCGAAGGCGGGUCUCUGGGCCGUAACUGACGCUGAGGAGCGAAAGCAUGGGGAGCGAACAGG
rnacentral:rRNA from 1 species